rnacentral:rRNA from 1 species
CCCAGACUCCUACGGGAGGCAGCAGUGGGGAAUAUUGCACAAUGGGGGGAACCCUGAUGCAGCGACGCCGCGUGGGUGAAGGAGUACUUCGGUACGUAAAGCCCUAUCAGCAGGAAAGAAAAUGACGGUACCUGACUAAGAAGCCCCGGCUAACUACGUGCCAGCAGCCGCGGUAAUACGUAGGGGGCAAGCGUUAUCCGGAUUUACUGGGUGUAAAGGGAGCGUAGACGGCAGUGCAAGUCCGGAGUGAAAGCCCGGGGCUCAACCCUGGGACUGCUCUGGAAACUGUAAAGCUGGAGUGCGGGAGGGGCAGGCGGAAUUCCUGGUGUAGCAGUGAAAUGCGUAGAUAUCAGGAGGAACACCGGUGGCGAAGGCGGCCUGCUGGACUGCAACUGACGUUGAGGCCCGAAAGCGUGGGGAGCAAACAGGAUUAGAUACCCGUGUA